AAAAAAUUAAAAAAUUAAAAAAUAAAAAAGGAAGCCCCUUUUGCUUAGGAUUUAAAUCUAGAAACCAACAUGCUGAGUUUUUUACUGCAUACAGAGACAAUGAAAUUGAACCUCAUCCGUACUACACAAAUCCCUCACGACUAGAUCAAUCCUAAUUGCUGACGAACAUGCUGAGAUAAGCAGUUUUAACGUCUCAAGUAGUUUUAUAAUUUUUUUUUUCACAUUCCUUCCAUCAAAUCUAUAUUUCACCUAAGUUAAUAAGGUGGUGAACACAAUGAUUUCUAGUAUAUAGUAGAAUGACAGGUUUACGUCAUAAGUUCUGUAUCCUUUAGAUAUACAACAGCUUGAGAAGGUAAAAAAUGAUACAUGUUGAAUAUACCUUUAACAUUU
rnacentral:lncRNA from 1 species